rnacentral:rRNA from 1 species
UACGAAGGGGGCUAGCGUUGUUCGGAAUCACUGGGCGUAAAGCGCACGCAGGCGGAUCGUUAAGUCAGGGGUGAAAUGCCGAGGCUCAACCUCGGAACUGCCUUUGAUACUGGCGAUCUUAGAGUCCGGGAGAGGUGAGUGGAACUCCGAGUGUAGAGGUGAAAUUCGUAGAUAUUCGGAAGAACACCAAUUGCGAAGGCAGCUCACUACACAAUCAUUGACUCUGAGGCACGAAAGCGUGGGGAUCAAACAGG